rnacentral:rRNA from 1 species
AUGUAUCUAGUGGCAUGGGCAGUUGUUGAGAGGGAAACUAAUGAUACAUGGAAGUGGUUCAUUGCCCUACUUAUUAAAGAUCUUGAGAUUAAUGACAAUGGAGCUGGCUGGGUGUUCAUUUCAGAUCAGCAGAAGGGACUGAUAAAUGCAAUGAAGGAUUAUUUGCCAAAUGCAGAGCACAUAAUGUGUGCUAGGCAUAUCUAUGCCAACUGGAGGAAGAAGCAUAGGGAACAUCAGUGGCAGAAGAAGUUUUGGGCAGUUGCCAAAGCAGCAAACAAGCAGGACUUCAACUACUAUAAAGCAAAGCUUGCCCAAGAAACUACAGAAGGUGCAAAAGACAUCAUGAGAACAGAGCUAGUGCACUGGGUAAGGGCUUUUUUCCAGUGGGAUCCAAUUGUGAGUCAGUUGAUAAUAAUUUGUGUGAAUCCUUCAAUCAUGCAAUUGUUGAAGCAAGGUUUUAUCCAAUAA